CCCCUCCGUGCCGGAGUUAACACAAUAAGUAUUCCACCUGGGGAGUACGAUCGCAAGAUUGAAACUCAAAGGAAUUGACGGGGGCCCGCACAAGCAGUGGAUUAUGUGGUUUAAUUCGAAGCAACGCGAAGAACCUUACCAGGGCUUGACAUCCAACUAACGAAGCAGAGAUGCAUUAGGUGCCCUUCGGGGAAAGUUGAGACAGGUGGUGCAUGGUUGUCGUCAGCUCGUGUCGUGAGAUGUUGGGUUAAGUCCCGCAACGAGCGCAACCCUUAUUGCUAGUUGCUACGCAAGAGCACUCUAGCGAGACUGCCGUUGACAAGACGGAGGAAGGUGAGGACGACGUCAAAUCAUCAUGCCCCUUAUGUCCUGGGCUACACACGUAAUACAAUGGCAUUUAACAGAGGGAAGCUAAGCCGCGAGGUGGAGCGAAUCCCUAAAAGGUGUCUCAGUUCGGAUCGCAGGCUGCAACUCGCCUGUAUGAAGUCGGAAUUGCUAGUAAUCGCGGAUCAGCAUGCCGCGGUGAAUACGUUCCCGGGCCUUGUACACACCGCCCGUCACACCAUGAGAGCCGGGAACACCCGAAGUCCGUAGUCUAACUUAAUUGAGGGCGCGGCCGAAGGUGGGUUUGGUAAUUGGGGUGAAGUCGUAACAAGGUAGCCG
rnacentral:rRNA from 1 species